GGCUCAGGAUGAACGCUAGCUACAGGCUUAACACAUGCAAGUCGAGGGGUCUCGAAGGGAGCUUGCUUCUGCGAGACGACCGGCGCACGGGUGAGUAACGCGUAUCCAACCUGCCCUUCAUAUUGGGAUAGCCUUCCGAAAGGGAGAUUAAUACCGAAUAACAUGAGAAGAUUGCAUGAACCUCUCAUGAAAGCUCCGGCGAUGAAGGAUGGGGAUGCGUUCCAUUAGGUAGUAGGCGGGGUAACGGCCCACCUAGCCGACGAUGGAUAGGGGUUCUGGGAGGAAGGUCCCCCACACUGGAACUGAGACACGGUCCAGACUCCUACGGGAGGCAGCAGUGAGGAAUAUUGGUCAAUGGGCGCAAGCCUGAACCAGCCAAGUAGCGUGAAGGAUGACUGCCCUAUGGGUUGUAAACUUCUUUUAUACGGGAACAAACCCUGGUACGUGUACCAGAUUGCGUGUACCGUAUGAAUAAGCAUCGGCUAACUCCGUG
rnacentral:rRNA from 1 species